rnacentral:rRNA from 1 species
UACGUAGGGGGCGAGCGUUAUCCGGAUUCAUUGGGCGUAAAGCGCGCGUAGGCGGCCGCCUAAGCGGGACCUCUAACCCCGGGGCUCAACCCCGGCCCGCCGUUGAAACUGGCAGUCUCGAGUUGGAGAGAAGUAUGCGGAAUGCGCGGUGUAGCGGUGAAAUGCAUAGAUAUCGCGCAGAACUCCGAUUGCGAAGGCAGCAUGCCGGCUCCACACUGACGCUGAGGCACGAAAGCGUGGGUAUCGAACAGG